AAGAGUCGGAGGGGUGAAAGGGGGUCAGCAGUGAGUCAGAGGCUCCCUGGGGUCAGAAUGGAAAGGGUAGGAAAGAAGUUCCGAAGCCGCCUGUCAAAUGUCGAAUGUCAGAAGGGGACGCAAUGGGGCGUCUGAGGUAGCCCGAGAGGUAGAGAGGAAGCCGGCCCGGCAAGGUGCCAGGGUCCCUCUCUGUUUGGGCUCCUCUCCAACUCCUGGGACUAUGUCUCAGGCCUACGCUGCCGGAGCCAAGAGCGCAGGGCGGUGGACGGGGCCUUCUUUGCUGCAUGGAUGGAUGGCCCAAGAAUAUAAUGGCCCAGGAGAAGAUGCGCUAAGAGGCUGCGGACACUGGUUUGAAGAAGCAGCCACAGAAGGGAGCCCAGUGGAGGCACGUUCUUGUCGGAAUUGAAGAAAAGAGGGAUCGAUUGGAGGAAAUGGCUAGAUGAAGCUCAUAGCUCCACAGUUCUAGUCACUCAGAUGGCGAGGGUGUCAUGGCAGCGCGGGGCCUGACACAGGAUUGAACAGCUAUAAGUUAUUGCUCUGGGUUUUAUUUUGAGACAAGGUCACAUGUAGUCAAGCCAUCCUGACCUCAAAGUUUCAAUGUAGCCAACCUUAGAGUUAUCCUGUCUCUGCCUCCCCAGUCCUGGGAUUGCAGGUAGGAGCCGCCACACCUAGAGGAUACAACACUGAGUAUUGAAUCCAGGGUCUUCUGCGUGCUUGGCAAAGACUCCCCAAAUUGAGCUGCAUCCCUGACCCUGUUUUUGUUGUUUUGUUGAGUCAGGAUCUUGCAUUGGUGGGCCAGGGUGGCCUCCAACUUUGGUACGUUUUCCUGCUUCUGUUUCAAAUGCUGGGAUUAUAACAUGCGGCACAACUCUUAAUUGCCCCAGACUGGGUUAGGCUGGACCUGUGCCAGGCCAAGAGCAGCCCGCCUGCAAUCGGGGAAAGAACCAUUCUGGUUGUGCCUUUCCUAGCUGGGCAUCAAGAAGAAGAACGAAGUCCAGAAUGAUAAAGAUGGAGGCGUGUCCAGGUGUCUACUGGCGAUCUUGAAUGUUCUGUGGCCAGGGAGCAAUUGAGUGUCCACUGAGCGCCAGGUACACGGUGGGAGCCAGAGAAUACAAACAACAUUCUGAACUGAUCUCUUUCCAUGUGAUCAAGAUUGUUUGUUGGGUGUUCUCGAGCAUUCUGUGGUCUGGCAAGUUGACACAUUAUAUAAUUCAUCAAUGCUGAAGAAAGGACCUCUGCUCGCUCCGGUCAACUCUGCUUCGGUCAGACCUGCUGGCUCACUCCGACCCAAAGAUCUAUUAUUA
rnacentral:lncRNA from 1 species